UGUAAGACUCAUUCCCCUAGCAUUGUUUUUCUUUGUGAAACUAGACAGUCAAAAAAUAAAAUGAAGAGGUAUCGCUCUCGUUUAGGUUUAAGUGGUUUUGAGGCCUCAGGUAGUGAUGGUCUUAGUGGUGGCUUGGCUUUGUACUGGCAUGAGUCUAUGAGUCUUGAUGUAAAAACUAUCAAUAAAAGAUAUAUUGAUGUGUACGUGAUGACGGCGCCGGGAGAGCCACCCUGGCGGCUCACCUGUGUCUAUGGCGAGCCGCGAACGGAGGACCGGCAUCGCAUGUGGUCCAUCCUGUGUGAUCUUCAUCACCAAUCCGACUUGCCUUGGAUGGUGGUUGGAGACUUCAACGAGGCUAUGUGGAGCUUCGAACACUUCUCUGAAUCACCACAGUCGGCAGGUCAGAUGAUUGGUUUUCGUGAUGUUCUGGAAGUUUGUGGCUUGGGUGAUCUUGGUUUUGCAGGGCUGCCUUACACAUAUGAUAACAAACGAACUGGACGUGCAAACGUCAAGGUCCGCCUUGAUCGGGCGGUGGCAACCAAUGCUUGGCGGGACUUGUUUGAAUAUGCUAAGGUGGAUCACCUGGUGGCACCUAGCUCGGACCAUCUUCCUAUACUGCUUCGGUGCUCGCGAGAGGAACCGAUGCAGGUUGCUGGCAGGAGGUUUCGGCAAUAUGAAGUCAUGUGGGAGAGGGAGCCUUCGCUCCCGGAGGUAAUUAUGAAAACCUGGACAGAUUUGGGUUCUAUGCUCAAUCUUGGUGAUAUAUCCUCUGGCUUGGGUAAUUUGAUGAAGAAGCUGCAGGUUUGGAGCCGGAAAAAAUUCGGUAAUGUCAUAAAAGAGAUUAACAAGUCUCGCUCACGGCUCGAGGAGCUUAUGUCCAUGAAUGCAGAUAGGAAGGAAAUAAGGGAAGCGACGGAUAGCCUCAACGAGCUCCUGUACCGCGAAGAGAUGAUGUGGAUGCAAUGA
rnacentral:rRNA from 1 species